rnacentral:lncRNA from 1 species
UUUCUUUCCAGAUUGAGCUGAAUGACAAGGGCAAAUUAAAGAGUGGAAUGUAAGUGUCCGAGGUCGUGAAUGCCAUCACAUAGCGGCUUUACUCAUCCAUGCGCACUAAAUUUCUGUGACAGACAGGCGUGUAAGUGGUCGGUGAAGAAAGAAGAGCUGAAUCAGACUGUGCAAACUAUAGAUGAGAUGUUUGGCAGUAGCAGCAAUGAAUAUGAUGCGACCUCCAGCACGAUGAGUGAUGAGAAAGGCAACAACUUUUCAAGGAUUUGUUUGAAUCAUCUGGUUUGCAUACAGGUAUCAGCUGGCUCCUUUCACCAGAAGUUUUGGAGUCUGCAUUAUUGCUUCAUAACUUGGAGUCAACCCUCUUGUCGCAAGAAAUGAAAGAAGCUGCUGAUAAGGUGUCAUUUUUGCUAGAGAGGGUUCGAGUGAACGCAGAAGCGAUCAGUAGAAUCGAGCAAGCAACUAUCGGUCAGAGUAAAAAUUCUCUAUGGUUAGUUGUUAAACGUUUUUGAUUACAGCAAGUAAUGUUGGUGCAGUGCUAAGAGCAUGUAAUAGUGAAAAUAUUCAGAGUCAUUGUUUAACACUCUUUUAGGCGCAUAUGACUUAGAUGGUAUUAAAGCUAUCAAGUGGGGAAGAGAGAAUGAGGCAACAGCCAGGAAAGCAUUUGAGGAUCAUUUUAAUGUGAAAGUUAGGGAGUGUGGUAUUUUCUUGCAUGAGAGUGGCCUGCUUGGUGCAUCUCCUGAUGGCUUGAUUGAUGAUGAAAUCGUCCUUGAGAUCAAAUGUCCUUACAAAUGGAGAAAUUGUCCAGAUAUCGAAGUUGCCCUGAAGGAAGCGAAGAAAAGUGAUAUAGUCCGUAUUGAAAAUGGCACCUAUGUGGUGAAUGAGAAAAUGACUGGUACCAUCAGAUCCAAACACAGCUUUUUAUUUUAAAUAAGAAAGAGGCUAGAUUGUUUAUUUGGACCCCGAAAGGUUUUUUUUGUGCCCCUAUUCAGAGAAAUGAAACAUGGAGAGAGAAUAUCCAAAAAUUGAUACAAUUUUUCUGUGGUCCAUUUUUGAAUCGUAUUUUAAGUCAACAUUGUCAAUAAUAGUGUAGUUAAUGUAAAUCAGGCAAUUCAGUGACGACAGUUUUGAACUUAAAAAUCGCAAUUUUCAAAACGAAAAAACUGUCUUCCAUGAAUUUCUUUCUGUCCUUUUUCUUUACGUACAAAAUCUAUGAUUUUUUUAACAUUUUUAAUUUUGUCUUCUGAAUUUUUUUCCUGAUUUUCUGUACUUAAAAAAUUGCGUUUGGAGUCUGCAUUAUUGCUUCAUAACUUGGAGUCAACCCUCUUGUCGCAAGAAAUGAAAGAAGCUGCUGAUAAGGUGUCAUUUUUGCUAGAGAGGGUUCGAGUGAACGCAGAAGCGAUCAGUAGAAUCGAGCAAGCAACUAUCGGUCAGAGUAAAAUUCUCUAUGGUUAGUUGUUAAACGUUUUUGAUUACAGCAAGUAAUGUUGGUGCAGUGCUAAGAGCAUGUAAUAGUGGAAAAUAUUCAGAGUCAUUUUUUAACACUCUUUUAGGCGCAUAUGACUUAGAUGGUAUUAAAGCUAUCAAGUGGGGAAGAGAGAAUGAGGCAACAACCAGGAAAGCAUUUGAGGAUCAUUUUAAUGUGAAAGUUAGGGAGUGUGGUAUUUUCUUGCAUGAGAGUGGCCUGCUUGGUGCAUCUCCUGAUGGCUUGAUUGAUGAUGAAAUCGUCCUUGAGAUCAAAUGUCCUUACAAAUGGAGAAAUUGUCCAGAUAUCGAAGUUGCCCUGAAGGAAGCGAAGAAAAGUGAUAUAGUCCGUAUUGAAAAUGGCACCUAUGUGGUGAAUGAGAAAAAUGACUGGUACCAUCAGAUCCAAACACAGCUUUUUAUUUUAAAUAAGAAAGAGGCUAGAUUGUUUAUUUGGACCCCGAAAGGUUUUUUUUGUGCCCCUAUUCAGAGAAAUGAAACAUGGAGAGAGAAUAUCCAAAAAUUGAUACAAUUUUUCUGUGGUCCAUUUUUGAAUCGUAUUUUAAGUCAACAUUGUCAAUAAUAGUGUAGUUAAUGUAAAUCAGGCAAUUCAGUGACGACAGUUUUGAACUUAAAAAUCGCAAUUUUCAAAACGAAAAAAACUGUCUUCCAUGAAUUUCUUUCUGUCCUUUUUCUUUACGUACAAAAUCUAUGAUUUUUUUAACAUUUUUAAUUUUGUCUUCUGAAUUUUUUUCCUGAUUUUCUGUACUUAAAAA